UACGGAGGGUGCAAGCGUUGUUCGGAAUCAUUGGGCGUAAAGGGCGCGUAGGUGGUUCUGUAUGUCUACCGUGAAAGCGUACGGCUCAACUGUAUUUUGUCGGUAGAAACUGCAGGACUUGAGGCUGGGAGGGGCUGGUGGAAUUCCCUGUGUAGCGGUGAAAUGCGUAGAGAUGGGGGAGAACACUCGUGGCGAAGGCGGCCAGCUAGACCAGUUCUGACACUGAGGCGCGACAGCGUGGGGAGCAAACAGG
rnacentral:rRNA from 1 species